rnacentral:rRNA from 1 species
GACGAACGCUGGCGGCGUGCUUAAUACAUGCAAGUCGAACGGAAAGGCCCUGCUUUUGUGGGGUGCUCGAGUGGCGAACGGGUGAGUAACACGUGUGUAACCUGCCCUUGACUUUGGGAUAACUUCAGGAAACUGGGGCUAAUACCGGAUAGGAGCUCCUGCUGCAUGGUGGGGGUUGGUAAGUUUCGGCGGUUGGGGAUGGACUCGCGGCUUAUCAGCUUGUUGGUGAGGUAGUGGCUUACCAAGGCUUCGACGGGUAGCCGGCCUGAGAGGGUGACCGGCCACAAUGGGACUGAGAUACGGCCCAGACUCCUACGGGAGGCAGCAGUGGGGAGUAUUGCAGAAUGGGCGGAAGCCUGAUGCAGCGACGUCGCGAGCGGGAUGACGUCCUACGGGUUAUAAACCGCUUUCGCAUGUGACAAAGCGUGAGUGACGGUAAUGGAUAAAGAAGCACCGGCUAACUACGUG